GACGAACGCUGGCGGCGUGCUUAACACAUGCAAGUCGAACGGAAAGGCCCUGCUUUUGUGGGGUGCUCGAGUGGCGAACGGGUGAGUAACACGUGAGUAACCUGCCCUUGACUUUGGGAUAACUUCAGGAAACUGGGGCUAAUACCGGAUAGGAGCUCCUGCUGCAUGGUGGGGUUGGAAAGUUUCGGCGGUUGGGGAUGGACUCGCGGCUUAUCAGCUUGUUGGUGGGGUAGUGGCUUACCAAGGCUUUGACGGGUAGCCGGCCUGAGAGGGUGACCGGCCACAUUGGGACUGAGAUACGGCCCAGACUCCUACGGGAGGCAGCAGUGGGGAAUAUUGCACAAUGGGCGGAAGCCUGAUGCAGCAACGCCGCGUGCGGGAUGACGGCCUUCGGGUGGUAAACCGCUUUCGCCUGUGACGAAGCGUGAGUGACGGUAAUGGGGAAAGAAGCACCGGCUAACUACGU
rnacentral:rRNA from 1 species